UAGGAAUUAAAAUGAUAUUUUUAAUAUACAUGUUUCUUUGCCUUUGAGAAAGAAUAAAUAAUUAAAUCGUAAUUUCUCAACCUUUGUUUUAUAUUUUUAUAUAUGAUUUUUAUGGAUAAAUGUACUCUAAAAUUUCAAGAUUGUAUCGUAUCUAAGACAUCUUUUAAGUCAAAAUGUAUCAUUUUAAAAUUUAAAUUUAUUUUAAUAAACGAUAUACCUACUUUUAUAGAUUUUAAUACUUUUAAUUUUAUGUUAAAUAAGGCUCAUUAGACACAAAAUUGUACAAUGACUUGAAGAGUUAGCAAGUAACCUUGGCUUGGCAAAGUUUCACAACCUUCUCUCUUCCCAAAAUGGUCGCAUUACAACUUCUGAACUUGAAACUAUGAUCAUAUCUGAUUGAAAUCAACAAAACCAGUUAAUUAGAUUUGGUCCUAUCAUCAACAUAAAGAAAAUGUUGACUCACAAGAAUAUGUUUCCAUUAGGUCUCAAUCGCAACCAAGAACAUGCAUGAAGCGAUCAAUUUUUCACAUAAGCAUUCAGUAGAACUACUCCAUAAAGAGACAAAGUUGGAGGAAAGCUAAAAGCAAUAAAAGAAUUGAGGGACUAAAGUUUAAAUUUAAUUAAUUAAUUUGACAAAACCAAAUCUUGUGGCAUGUCUAGUGGUAUUAAAUCAAGUUGAAUUAGAAUCCCUAAUACAUUUAUAUUUCCUUUUUGGACUAAUGGUUUUAUAAGUAUAGAAGGUUCAAAGUGGGAUGUGAAAGGCAAUGCAAAGAGGAGAGGGCACCAACAUGACUACUUGUGAGCUCAAAGCAAAACAUCCACCAAACAACUAUGGAAGAAGAGAGAGCUUUGGGGUCAUUUCAAACUCAUAAUUGUUUUUAAUUAUUUAAUAUUAUUAUUUUAAGAGAAACUUCUUUAUGCCUUUGAGGCUUUUAAAAAAGAGGGUGAAACAUCCCAUAUUGCCUUAAGAAACCAAGCUUCCUUUCAGACAUGGAAACCAAAAUCAUCAUGCUUCAGUCUCACACCAUCUUAUUUGUAACACAUUUAUAUUAAUUUAAAUCAAGAUUGCUAUCAUCAAAGUUAAAAUGAUUAAUUAUAAUUCUUUUAACAUCCCACUUUCUCUAUUGAUUUUUAUAACUAAAUUCAUCUAAAAAUUUUACAAAAUGAAGGUGCCUUUAAACUAGGGAUCAAGGACUUAACUUUUUUUAUGGAUAUAUCAACGAAAUAAACAAACAAUACGCAAUACUUCAAAGACAAAUUUAUUAUAAUUGAUUUUUCUAGUAAAUAUUUCGAUAGUUGUGUUAUUUUUGACAGAUUUUCAUAUGUAAACAAAAAUAUAGUUAUUACUGUUAAUAUUCAUAUUUAUUUGAGGUUAAUAGAUGAUGCUUUGUUAUGUUUUAUGUGUAUUAGAUCACCAUUCAAUAACAAUAAAUUUGCAAUAAUCGUUAAAGAACGCAAUUAACUACCGUAACCUAUCAUAAUUGAGCCAAGUUCAAUCUCUGAAUGCCUUUAACUUCAAUGAAAUCUUCAUGUUAUAGCUAAUGAAUGCACUUCUCUUCUAGACCAAAUCAAGAUUACUAGUAAAGUAAAACCUUUAGAUCACCUCAACAUAUUUCAUCCAAAUUCGGACCAGAUAACAUGUAUAAAAGACGACUCUUUCCAAUACCAAAAGAUGACUCUGCUACUCUAUCAAAAGCGAACACGUGUACGAAAAAAGCUAUGUAUUUUACAUAUAUAGAAAAAAUGGAGGAGGAGGGGGGUCUAACAGGACAAUAUGAUCAAUCAGAUCCAGACAUUAUGCUAGGGAACAUCUAUCAGUUGAUCUCAGAAACAGGGUCUUGUGCAUGUACCACUCAUUUUGGUUGGUGUAGUGUUCACAUCACUUCAAAAGAUAUAUAUAUAUAUAUAUAUAUAUAUAUAUAUUUGAAACUUUUUCUAUAAAAUAUUCAAUUUAAAAAAAAAAGAAUUCAGGAACUUUCCAAAUAAAUGCAAAGGCAUUUGAAUGUGUUCUCUUUUAUCCUCUAUAAGAGAAGAUUAGGAAGAAAAAAGAGGAUUUUCCUUAGGCCAAUAAUUUCCAAUCCUUUUUGUUGAAGCUGCUAUGGCUUUACUUUUCCAAAUUCCGAUGGUAAAAUUUUCAAUUUCAUAAUAUGUUAAGACAAACUUUUCAUCUUCGUGGGUUUGAUGAGAAUUUUUUAGUUGAUUGUAUUUUAAAAUUUCAUAAUAUUCGUUUGGCAUUAUAUUUAGGAAGGCUAGACAUAUGCUGUAGUCUCUAAUGUUUGAUUUCUUUUUUCAAUUUAGUUUAGAUCAGUGUUAUAGGUGACUAAUAAUUAACUUAUAAGGCAUAUACUUAGCUAGAUAGCAUAAAAGUUAUGGAAGAAUUAGGCCACUGAAAAAGGUAACAUCAAAUUUAUGUCAAAUUCUUAGAAUUUGGGAGAUGAAAGAACUAUUUUUUUAAUCUCUAAUAAUAAGAAAAAUAAAGAACAGAGGAGAGGAAAAAAAAUACUAUGAAUAAAGAGGAAAUCCACAGUGACUAAUAUUGAAAAAUUAGUGUGAAAGGACUACUUUAUGUCGGUUAACAACUUACAAGUACGAUUGAAAGAAAUCCUAAAAUAAAUAACAGUGAACUCAAACUAUACCAAAAGUUCUUAUUGGCUGCACUGAAGACUUUUUGAUUGAACUAAAAUCAAGAUUUUUUUUUUCUUCCCAAAAGUGGCAACUGUGUUGUUCUAUUUUUGUUUUUGGACAAUUUGCAAAAAUCAACUAAUAGCUCAUUAAAUAGUGGUAAAAAUUAAACUUCCUAAUAAUAAAAAUUGAGCCCUAAUAGAUACAAUUUCUACAAAAUUAUAAAACUUUUGAAAGUCUAACUUUAACACUUACAAUAUAAGUUUUGAAGGCUUAAUUUUUACAAUGGAAAGCUUAAGAGCAUAAUCACCAAAAUACCACCAUACUAAAGGUUUUUUGUUCCUUUUUAAUUGCAAGCUGCCGUUAUUUUUUUAGAAAAAUAGUUAAGAACAAUUAGUCUCAAAAUGUCAGGAAUACCGUUUAAUUUGAACUCUAAUCUAAUAAAAUUUCUACUUCAACCUUAAUUUAUUCGACAAUUCACCACUUGGAAUAAAAAACAAAGGCUACAUGAAACAUGAAAGAGAGAAUAUAUCGACGUGUGUUAGAUUUUGUUAAUUGGACAUUAGAACUUUAUCUUUUAAAAAAAAUGUACAAAUGAGAAUGAAGGAUUAUUUUGAAAGAUUUUUUUGGAUAACUAAUUACUAUAAAAAAUUGUAAUUAAUAGAAGUUUAUAAAUUUAUAAGAUCUAAAAUUUAUAAGUAGUAUGAUAACGACACUGGAAUCUGGAGUAUGACUUUUGAUUGACAAAUUAUGAGCUUUGUAUUUGACAGAAUAUAAUUCCCCACUCUUAUCCUUUUCCCUUUUAACUUAUUUUCUCUUUCUCUCUCUCUUUCAUAAUUGCUUGGCCAUGCUGACAGCUAUGCAAUUCCAUUUCAGAUUUAAUUUCACAACCACUUUAUUGUUGCUUUGUAAUGGAGAUACAGUUUUUAGAAAUUUUUUUUUUUUGUAGUUUUAUUCGAUCUUUUUUAUUUAUUGAACCAAAAAGUUCACUUAAUCAAUUCCUUUUAUUUUGCUAAUUAAGAAGGCUUAGUUUAGCUCAUUAAUCAUGUCUUAUCUCUCUCUACCAUGCUAAAGGAGAAGAGGUGGAAGGAUUAAGGAAGAAACCAAUGCUGAAUCUCACUUCAAAACUCUACCUAGAAAAAAUAGAUUGCUGAAUUUACAAGGAAUGAAAUCCCAAUUGAAGAUCGGAAAUGUAAUAGUGUAGAAAAGAAAAGAAAAAAAAAGAGGGCCUUUUUUCUUUUCCUGAUUUAAGAUUAGGAAAAUUUGCCUGAAAUGGUGGGUUAUGGUUGAUGAUGAUAAGGUGAUUAGAAAUGGUGGGUUUUGCUCAUAAAUUUCAGUUGGAGCUUUUUAUAAUUGGAGUGCAGACAUGAAGUGGCCAAAGGCCCCAAACCCAUAAAAAAGCCCACCACUUGUCUAUAAAAAUAAAGAAAAAAGAAAAGGGGAAAAAAAGAAAGAAAGAAAAAGGGCAGAGGAAGAGAACAAGUAAAAAGGAGGGAGAUUGAGGAUUGGGGAUUGGGGAGGGACAGCAAUGUCAGAUUUGUAGUUUGUUUAGUGUGUUUUUAUUAUCCCCAUGCUAGAUCGCAUAAGAAAAAAAAAGAAAAGAAAAGAAAAACAGAGAAAGAAAGAAAGGGAGAAAGAGAAACUAACCUGGUGGAUCCUCUGUGGAAAAGCUUCCAAAAACCCUGAGUGAGUGAUUCAAUCGGCUGGCUCUCCUAUUUUGAUCUGAGACCAAACGCUGCCACUUUCUUAACCGUUAUGUGCUUUUACAGCUCAGUCUGUUCCUGGAAGAUGGCAC
rnacentral:lncRNA from 1 species